rnacentral:rRNA from 1 species
GUGGGGAAUAUUGGACAAUGGGGGGAACCCUGAUCCAGCCAUGCCGCGUGUGUGAAGAAGGCCUUUUGGUUGUAAAGCACUUUAAGCGAGGAGGAGGCUACCGAGAUUAAUACUCUUGGAUAGUGGACGUUACUCGCAGAAUAAGCACCGGCUAACUCUGUGCCAGCAGCCGCGGUAAUACAGAGGGUGCAAGCGUUAAUCGGAUUUACUGGGCGUAAAGCGCGCGUAGGUGGCCAAUUAAGUAAAAUGUGAAAUCCCCGGGCUUAACUUGGGAAUUGCAUUCGAUACUGGUUGGCUAGAGUAUGGGAGAGGAUGGUAGAAUUCCAGGUGUAGCGGUGAAAUGCGUAGAGAUCUGGAGGAAUACCGAUGGCGAAGGCAGCCAUCUGGCCUAAUACUGACACUGAGGUGCGAAAGCAUGGGAGCAAACAGGAUUAGAUACCCUUGUAGUCC